UAUGGGCACAGAUUUGCCUUAGCCAUAGCUAUGCUAUGGACCCUCAGUCCGUUGCUACCCGGUGAGUGCUCGAUCGGUAUAAUCGGUAUUGCUUCUAAACGGUCUGUGCUUCGGAAGAACAUCUCAUAUUACAACACGUCUCAAACAGUCAAACGUUCUGCUGGCUGUAUCAAACAUUUAAUAUACAUCCGUAUGGAAUAGUCGAAAUAUGGAUAUAAAUCUGUGGAUUAAGAAGCAUUCUGUGCUGAUGAUGUGUUCAUGUGGUCUAGCAAAGAAUGGUUUUAAUUAAAGAAGUUAGUCAGUUGACGCCUCACGCCAACACUACCUGCUUUGGUUGAGAUGGACAGAGCCAAAAAUGAAUAAAAAUAGACAAAUAUACUGUUGGCAUUCAUCGAUUUUGAAACAGACCAGGAAUCAUCUGACAAGUAAAAUAAAGACAAACAACUUAAUCACUACUGUGAAAAUGGGUGAGGCAGACAGGCAGAGCAGAGCAAAGAAGAUAGUGAAAAGGAAUGCUAUGUGCAAACAGAUAAAGGAUGAAAUCAUGAAAAAUGGCAUGCAAAGAAAAAUAAAAAUGAACUUGAUAAGUGUUGUUCUUGAAAUACAUCGAUGAAUGUGCGGAGGGUAAUCCAUGUGGUUUCAAUACGAAUUGUAUGAACACUAAUGGUUCUUACACGUGCGAGUGUUUAUCUGGGUUUG